rnacentral:lncRNA from 1 species
GGUCACGGGGAACCGGAGCCUACCCGGCAACACAGGGCGUAAGGCCGGAGGGGGAAGGAGACACACCCAGGACGGGAUGCCAGUCCGUCACAAGGCACCCCAAGCGGGACUCGAACCCCAGACCCACCGGAGAGUAGGACUGCGGUCCAACCCACUGCGCCACCACACCCCCUGCUAAGAAUUGGCGUGAGAGAUGACAUCAUCAUCCAGUAACCAGUGAAAGGCAGGUGUGGUGGAAGAUUUGUACAUGAUUAUUAUCAACGUUUCAUUUGGCCGGAUUUCAUAUUUGCUGCUCAAGACAUUUCCAUCGAAGCUCAAGACAUUGCUCAUCGGGGUUUUCCAGAGUGCUGUCACAACAGUUUCCAGUGAUUUGUCACGUCUCCAUCAACCACAGCGCAUCGGCGACACCUGCUGUUCCCUGAUGGAACCUAAGAUAAAAAGGGACGCCAAGGAGGAAACAAUGUGGAACCUAGUUCAGCGACUUCUCUUGAAUGGUUGUCUGUGUUACCUGUAUCCCCUUCCUGCCUCGACCUUGGCUUGUUUAUUUUUUUUGACCACGAUUCUCUCCUUGCCCUGCGUAUUCUGUUUGCCGAUCGCCCGACCUUCGUCUGUCCUCGACUUCUAUCUUGGAUUACGUCUGUCUGCUUAUAAACAACAUCGCUUUGAAGAACUCUGCACUUGACUUGAGUCCGUCAUCCAGUGGAACGAAACUAUGACACGAUUAUAUUAUCAUUGCUGAAAGAGGUGGAACCUGUGCUUAUGAGUUCUCAGUCAGAUCAGCAGUACCUGAAAUUAGGGUUUUUCCUGCCCAUGAUAACUGAAAUCCAUUUGAGUGUAUCAGUUGCGCGGGAAGCUACAUAAAAUAUUGCAUUAGCCACAGCAGUACGAUACACACAAUGUAUAUAAACUAAAUAAAGUGCUGCAGUUUGCUGGAAGUUUUUGGCCA